UUCAACUAAAUGAGACAUCUGUUUCAGAAAAGGAAAAUUUGCUCUGGUUGUCAUGGCAACUAUCAUUCUGUAAGAAAAUUAUUCCAAUGGUUACUUUAGAACAGAAAGACAGAAAUUCAGGACAUAAAGCCGCCUCCCAUCGCUCCGCCGGAAUUCUGAUCCGCCCGCCCUCCUCUCGGGCCGCGGGGUGGCCAGGCUGGGUCCCCGCGCCAGGUCACACGGGAAACCCGUGCUGCGGCCCUUGGGGCCCUCGGGGCGCCCACGCGCGGGGUGUCGGCCCACACACAGGGUGUCGGCCCACGCACGGUGUCGGCCCACGGCGGUGGUGGCGGUGAGAGUCUGAUGUCCUCAACAUGGAAGGAGAUUGGAGAAGAAAAAGCAAGAGUCCGAGCUCCCCUCCAGCUGGGAGAAUCUAGUCACAGGCAGCCCUGGUUUUACGGCUGGGGGUUCAACCUGCCGAGAGGCCAAGCCCUGCUGGAGAAGUGGAGCCUCAUUCCCGAAGGCG